GACGAACGCUGGCGGCGUGCUUAACACAUGCAAGUCGAACGGAAAGGCCCUGCUUGCAGGGUACUCGAGUGGCGAACGGGUGAGUAACACGUGGGUGAUCUGCCCUUCACUUCGGGAUAAGCCUGGGAAACUGGGUCUAAUACCGGAUAGGAGCCAUUUUUAGUGUGAUGGUUGGAAAGUUUUUUCGGUGUAGGAUGAGCUCGCGGCCUCUCAGCUUGUUGGUGGGGUAAUGGCCUACCAAGGCGGCGACGGGUAGCCGGCCUGGGAGGGUGGACGGCAACAUUGGGACUGAGAUACGGCCAAGACUCCUACGGGAGGCAGAAGGGGGGAAUAUUGAACAAUGGGGGAAAGCCUGAUGCAGCGACGCAGCGUGGGGGAUGACGGCCUUCGGGUUGUAAACUCCUUUCGCUAGGGACGAAGCUUUUUGUGACGGUACCUAGAGAAGAAGCACCGGCUAACUACGUG
rnacentral:rRNA from 1 species